CAGCAGCCGCGGUAAACCGUAGGAGGCGAACGUUAUCCGGAAUUACUGGGCGUAAAGCGCGCGCAGGCGGCUUUGUAAGUCCGACGUGAAAGCUCCCGGCUUAACUGGGAGAGGCCGUUGGAUACUGCGGAGCUUGAGGUUAGGAGAGGAAAGUGGAAUUCCCGGU
rnacentral:rRNA from 1 species